GAUAGGCAUAAUGUAAUGGUCAUAAAAAUGCUAAAUAUUUUUUUCUCCUUGCUUUGUAGUUGAUAAAGUGCUUCUAUAUGCAUUAUCUGUUUCAAUAUUUCAACAACCUUGAGUUAAGUAUUUCUUUCUACAUUUCAUAGAUAAGACUCAGAAUCAUAGAGAAAUAGAAAAAGAUACCUAAAAAAGGUUAAAGGAAAAAAGUGUAUGUAGUACCUUAAUCUUCACACAGUAGAAAAUAUAUAUAUUCAUGUACUUUCAAAAUAAGAGAAGGUAAAAAGCAUGACACGUAUAAUUAAAAAUGUAAAUUCACCUGAUUUUUAUUUUAAUGUCAUCAAAUUUUGUUCCUAAAAGAACCGUCGGGCAUAAAAUAUGAUUUAGCAAUGCUUUACACUGUUUCACUAAUAUUUCAAAUUAAUUGGACAGAAGCUGCUAAAUGGAUGAAAAACUAGCUCACUUGUAAUAAUAGGUGGAUGUAUAUUCAUAAUUAUAUAGCAGAUUUUCAUCAGAAUCAAAGUUAAGUCUGAUCUUUGUUAAUAUCUUCAUAAGUCAGGAAACUAAUAGAAUUAGUAGAUACUGCUCAGCUGGAAGAUGGUGCUAAAUCUAGCCACGUCCUAAGGAAAUACAGGUAGAUAGGAACUUAGUGUAGGGGAGCAGUCAAAUGAAAUUUGACUUAUAACUGAACAUGCAUUAGUGUAUUUGAAAACUCCCAGGAAAUGAAGCCCAAGCAAAUACUCCAUGGAGCAGCCUGCACAAGUUUCCAAAGGUAAAGUCACAUGAGUUUGUGUUUGUCGUGUGCACUGGAGACAAAGGCGCACCAGCAUAACAGUGCUCCCGCACGCAGGACCCUUUGUGGCACAUCCACACGCCUCAUGGAUACAACACAGUCAUAAAAAUUCACCAAGUGUACUGGAAGGAGAAAAGGACCCAAAUGACCAAACCAAGCAUAAUGGGCUGAACUCACUUUCUUACUUCAUAUUAGCACAGCCUUGCAGCAGUGUGACAACACUGAGGAUGAGGACGCCUGUGUGGAGCUCCAUGUUCUUUGCAUCUCACGAGGCCAAUCAAAUCUGGCAUCUUCCAUGAAUUUUCUGUGACCUCUCUGCAGAUGCCAUCAUCUUGAGUAUUUGUCAAAACGUUCUACAUCUGAAGUCUGGGUGCCGCGGAAGGUGGAGUCCCAGAAGGCCCAACGGCGAGGCUGCCUAGAAACACGGGGACAGAGGGGACCGCUGCUCAGUCAAGAUUCCCAGCACAGCUAGAUUAGAGAGACGUCACGCUUUAACAAGCAGAAAUUUCAACAUCUCCACAAAUUAAGUCAAACUAAUAGACAUUUUUCUUUCACAAAAUAAUAAAAUAGAGAUAUUUCUUACA
rnacentral:lncRNA from 1 species